UAUAUGCCCUAUCGAAGCCAAAUACCCCCAAAGUCUCAAUUCCAUUAACCAAAAUCCCCAGUUCGUAAAGCCUAAUUUGAUCACCAAAUCAAAGAAGAUAGAUGUGGGCAGCUUCCUGCGUUGCGUCAUGCUGUGCCGCGUGCCGGACUGUCGUUUCGGGAAUCAGCCGCCGUUCAGCGAGGAUCGCCUACUGCGGCCUGUUCGCCUUCUCUCUCGUCGUCGCAUGGAUCCUCGGCGAAGUCGCUGCUCCUUUGAUGGAGUCUCUUCCUUGGAUCAAUUUUGAAACAGAUGUAGUUUUGCGAGUUAGCUUGGGGAACUUUCUCUUUUUCACUAUUCUAGCAGUUCUAAUGAUUGGCGUCAAGAACCAGAAGGAUCCUUGUGAUGGUUUGCAUCACGGAGGUUGGAUGAUGAAAAUAAUUUGUUGGUUCCUUCUAGUAAUCUUUGUUUUUCCUUCCAAAUGAGCUCAUCAGCUUUUAUGAAACCAUAUCAAAGUUUGGCUCGGGUAUGUUUCUUCUAGUUCAAGUUGUGCUCUUGUUAGAUUUUGUUCAUCGAUGGAAUGACACCUGGGUUGGAUAUGAUGAACAAUUCUGGUUAGUUUUAGACGUUGUUUGAAAGAAACCUGCUUUCGUUUGCGUCUUGCAGUAGUCUUCCGCGGCCAGCUUUGGCUGCGUUUCUGUCCCUUGAGUCGUUUGUGUUUAGCAUUGUCCACCCUGGUGGUGGUGGAGUCCAACUAAUGUGGAUCUCCUCUCUUUUCUUUGUGGUUGUUAUUGUUGAAGAAAUCCGUUGCACUUUCGGGUUCGAUAAGCUGCAUCCACGUUCUUAAAAACUUUGAGCAAUCUCUGAUGGUGUGGAUAAUGUCCUCGCUCAUUUAUAUUGAAAUUGGGCAGAUUUCACUAUGCCAAAAUAGAUGAGCUCUUCUUUGAGCUUUAUAUGUAGGGAGGGCAACACUUCCAAAUUGGUUGGAGAGUUCGGGGCGGGUUUUUAGUGGAGCAAGGACUUAGGGCGGGAUCGGGUUUAGGUAAUACCCAACCCGGUAUAUAUAUAAUUUUAAUAUUUAAUAUAUGUAAAAUAAUUAAUAUUAUUGUAUCAUAUUUAAGUUUUUACUUUAAUUUAUGUUAUAUAUGUGAUUAUAGUUAUAUGAAUUUUGAAAUUUAAUUUUAUUUGUUGGAUUUUAAUAAUUAUAGAGGCGGGUAGGGACGGGGCAGGUACCCCGUGGAAACGACUUAGGGUUCAACUUUUUACUACCUACUAGUAAGAGCAGAGCAUAUUGUUAUUGUAGGACCGGGUGGGAUCGGGUUGGGAAAAAACCUGCCCUUACCCGUCCCAUUACCACCCUUUAUAUUUGACUCCUAUAGAAAAAUUCCCAUCUUCUGUAUGUCUCCAACCAAUUCUAUCUUCUUCUCUAUCAUGUGAUGGUGCUGGUAAAGCUAGAAUCUUUUAACACAUAGCCUUCUGGUAGGUAGUUUCUGAGUUUGUUUGUGUCCCAAUUGCCUGAAAUAUUAGUCCAUUCCCAGACUAAACUCUCAAAAUAUAUUAUUCUUUGGAGUGCAAAUUCCAGUAGGUUUCUAGUAUCAUUUUGGUGCAGAUUUUGAGAAUAUCCACAACUGAACCGACAAGUACACCGGUCAAUCAAGUAAUACCUAAAGUAAGUGAGGGUUGAUCCCACGAGACUGAUGGACUGAGCAACAAUGGUCGGCUGAUUGGUUUAGUUAGGCAGACAGAAAAGUUGAUUUUGUGAGUUUCAAAAGCAUUAAACAAUAUAACAAGAGUAAAGGAAGCAAAAAAUGCAUUUGGUGUAGAAAUCAAUGAGAGAAACAAUUAAUGUAUUGGAGAUGUUUACUUUUUCCGGAUUAAGUUUUCUUACCAACUAUUUUAAUCAUGCAAGAUUCAUUCCAUGGAAAACUGUAGUUGACUAAACCCUAAUUUCUUAGUGGUUUAGUCUCCUCUAACCUUCAUUAACCGCCAAUCUCUUGGUCACUUGAUUCCGAUUAGAGGGUUAAGUUCAAAUCUAGUUUAUGGCCACAAAAACCCUAAUUACGCAAAACUAAAUGGAUUAUAUGUCACAUAUCCAUAUUAGUUCAAGUAAUUAACAAUUUAAGAGGAAUUUAUUUUCAAGCUGUGUUCAAGUGAGAGACCUCUCACAAGGGUCACAAGAACGCAUCUAGAAUAAGGGUCAUACUCUCGUUCCACUCAGAUUCAUAAAAUUAAGAACGAAAGUAAUCCUUGAAAUUGAAUGAGUACAUUAAUUAAAAUAAAAAAAUAAUAGUCUUAAUCCAUAGAAAUAAAUAGAGCUCUUAACCUUAACUAAGGAGGUUUAGUGGCUCAUGACUUACAGAGCAAACAAGGGUUUAUAAAAAAUAAAAUGUGCGGAAGUGAGAAGAUCCCCUGAAGG